GACGAACGCUGGCGGCGUGCUUAACACAUGCAAGUCGAACGGAAAGGCCCCUUUGGGGGUACUCGAGUGGCGAACGGGUGAGUAACACGUGAGUAACCUGCCCUUGACUUCGGGAUAACUUCAGGAAACUGGGGCUAAUACCGGAUAGGAAUCCUUGCUGCAUGGUGGGGGUUGGAAAGCUUCGGCGGUUUUGGAUGGACUUGCGGCUUAUCAGCUUGUUGGUGGGGUAGUGGCUUACCAAGGCUUUGACGGGUAGCCGGCCUGAGAGGGCGACCGGCCACAGUGGGACUGAGAUACGGCCCAGACUCCGGCGGGAGGGAGCAGUGGGGAAGAGUGAUCAAGGGGCGGAAGCCUGAUGCAGAAACGCCGCGUGCGGGAUGACGGCCUUCGUGUUGUAAACCGCUUUCAGCAGGGGCGAAGCUUGUGGUGACGGUACCUGCAGAAGAAGCACCGGCUAACUACGUG
rnacentral:rRNA from 1 species